GAUGAACGCUGGCGGCGUGCCUAAUACAUGCCAGUCGAGCGAACAGACGAGGAGCUUGCUCCUCUGACGUUAGCGGCGGACGGGUGAGUAACACGUGGAUAACCUACCUAUAAGACUGGGAUAACUUCGGGAAACCGGAGCUAAUACCGGAUAAUAUAUUGUACCGCAUGGUUCAAUAGUGAAAGACGGUUUUGCUGUCACUUAUAGAUGGAUUCGCGCCGCAUUAGCUAGUUGGUAAGGUAACGGCUUACCAAGGCAACGAUGCGUAGCCGACCUGAGAGGGUGAUCGGCCACACUGGAACUGAGACACGGUCCAGACUCCUACGGGAGGCAGCAGUGGGGAAUCUUCGACAAUGGGCGAAAGCCUGACGGAGCAACGCCGCGUGAGUGAUGAAGGUCUUCGGAUCGUAAAGCUCUGUUAUUAGGGAAGAACAAAUGUGUAAGUAACUAUGCACGUCUUGACGGUACCUAAUCAGAAAGCCACGGCUAACUACGUG
rnacentral:rRNA from 1 species